GCUUGUCUCAAAGAUUAAGCCAUGCAUGUCUAAGUAUAAACGACUUUAUACUGUGAAACUGCGAAUGGCUCAUUAUAUCAGUUAUAGUUUAUUUGAUGGUCCUUGCUACUUGGAUAACCGUAGUAAUUCUAAAGCUAAUACAUGCAUUAAACCCCGACUUCUGGAAGGGGUGUAUUUAUUAGAAGAAAACCAAUGCGGGGUAACCCGGAAUAUGGUGAUUCAUAAUAACUUUCGGAUCGACUUAUCGAUGCAUCAUUCAAGCUUCUGCCCUAUCAGCUUUGGAUGGUAGGGUAUUGGCCUACCAUGGCUUUAACGGGUAACGGAGAAUUAGGGUUCGAUUCCGUUUAGGGGGCCUGAGAAAUGGCUACCACAUCCAAGGAAGGCAGCAGG
rnacentral:rRNA from 1 species